rnacentral:rRNA from 1 species
GACGAACGCUGGCGGCGUGCUUAACACAUGCAAGUCGAACGGAAAGGCCCUGCUUUUGUGGGGUGCUCGAGUGGCGAACGGGUGAGUAACACGUGAGUAACCUGCCCUUGACUUUGGGAUAACUUCAGGAAACUGGGGCUAAUACCGGAUAGGAGCUCCUGCUGCAUGGUGGGGGUUGGAAAGUUUCGGCGGUUGGGGAUGGACUCGCGGCUUAUCAGCUUGUUGGUGGGGUAGUGGCUUACCAAGGCUUUGACGGGUAGCCGGCCUGAGAAGGUGACCGGCCACAUUGGGACUGAGAUACGGCCCAGACUCCUACGGGAGGCAGCAGUCGGGAAUAUUGCACAAUGGGCGGAAGCCUGAUGCAGCAACGCCGCGUGCGGGAUGACGGCCUUCGGGUUGUAAACCGCUUUCGCCUGUGACGAAGCGUGAGUGACGGUAAUGGGUAAAGAAGCACCGGCUAACUACGUG